GCACUGCUGAAGAGUUCGAAACUAGGACGAAACAGCUGUCCAGUAC
rnacentral:hammerhead_ribozyme from 1 species